rnacentral:rRNA from 1 species
GAUGAACGCUGGCGGUAUGCUUAACACAUGCAAGUCGAACGGACUCUUCGGAGUUAGUGGCGGACGGGUGAGUAACGCGUGAGAAUCUGGCUUUGGGUUCGGGACAACCACUGGAAACGGUGGCUAAUACCGGAUGUGCCGAGAGGUAAAAGAGAAAUUGCCUGAAGAUGAGCUCGCGUCUGAUUAGCUAGUUGGUGAGGUAAAGGCUCACCAAGGCAGUGAUCAGUAGCUGGUCUGAGAGGAUGACCAGCCACACUGGGACUGAGACACGGCCCAGCCUCCUACGGGAGGCAGCAGUGGGGAAUUUUCCGCAAUGGGCGAAAGCCUGACGGAGCAAUACCGCGUGAGGGAAGAAGGCUCUUGGGUUGUAAACCUCUUUUCUUAGGGAAGAACAAAAUGACGGUACCUAAAGAAUCAGCAUCGGCUAACUCCGUG